rnacentral:rRNA from 1 species
GAACGAACGCUGGCGGCGCGUUUAAGCAUGCAAGUCGAGCGGUAACUACCCUUCGGGGUAGCUAGAGCGGCGAACGGGUGAGUAACACGUAGAUAAUCUGCCUUGAGGUUGGGGAUAGCCUGUGGAAACACAGGGUAAUACCGAAUAAGCCCUAUGGGGGAAAGGUGCUAAGGCACCGCCUUGAGAUGAGUCUGCGGCUCAUUAGUUAGUUGGUGGGGUAAAAGCCUACCAAGGCGACGAUGAGUAGCCGGCCUGAGAGGGUGGACGGCCACACUGGGACUGAGACACGGCCCAGACUCCUACGGGAGGCAGCAGCUAAGAAUCUUCCGCAAUGGGCGCAAGCCUGACGGAGCGACGCCGCGUGAACGAAGAAGGCCGUGAGGUUGUAAAGUUCUUUUCUUACUGAAGAAUAAUCAUUGCAGGGAAUGGCAGUGAGAUGACGUUAGGUAAGGAAUAAGCCCCGGCUAAUUACGUGCCAGCAGCCGCGGUAACACGUAAGGGGCAAGCGUUGUUCGGAAUUAUUGGGCGUAAAGGGCGUGUAGGCGGUUUUACAAGUCUGGUGUGAAAUACCGCAGCUUAACUGCGGGGACGCGCUGGAAACUGUAAGACUAGAGUACAGGAGGGGGACCUGGAAUUCCUGGUGUAGGGUGAAAUCUGUA